rnacentral:rRNA from 1 species
GACGAACGCUGGCGGCGUGCUUAACACAUGCAAGUCGAACGGAAAGGCCCUGCUUUUGUGGGGUGCUCGAGUGGCGAACGGGUGAGUAACACGUGAGUAACCUGCCCUUGACUUUGGGAUAACUUCAGGUAACUGGGGCUAAUACCGGAUAGUAGCUCCUGCUGCUUGUUGGGGGUUGGAAAGUUUCGGCGGUUGGGGAUGGACUCGCGGCUUAUCAGCUUGUUGGUGGGGUAGUGGCUUACCAAGGCUUUGACGGGUAGCCAGCCUGAGAGGUUGACCGGCCACAUUGGGACUGUGAUAAGGCGCAGACUCCUACGGGAGGCAGCGGUGGGGAAUAUGGCACAAUGGGCGGAAGCCUGAUGCAGUAACGCCGCGUGCGGGAUGACGGCCUUCGGGUUGUAAACCGCUUUCGCCUGUGACGAAGCGUGAGUGACGGUAAUGGGUAAAGAAGCACCGGCUAACUACGUG